UACGUAGGGGGCUAGCGUUGUCCGGAAUCAUUGGGCGUAAAGCGCGUGUAGGCGGUUCGGUAAGUCCGCUGUGAAAGUCGGGGGCUCAACCCUCGAAAGCCGGCGGAUACUGUCGGACUAGAGUACGGAAGAGGCGAGUGGAAUUCCUGGUGUAGCGGUGAAAUGCGCAGAUAUCAGGAGGAACACCAAUUGCGAAGGCAGCUCGCUGGGACGUUACUGACGCUGAGACGCGAAAGCGUGGGGAGCAAACAGG
rnacentral:rRNA from 1 species